CAGCUGCCUGAUGGGAGAUGCAAGAUUGUUGCAGAGACAGAAAUACGUUUCCAGGUGUGGACAGAGCAGGCUGAGGGAGACACUCAGAGUAAUGUGGGUUGGCGUGAUGACAAUGUAUUUGGCCCUGGCAAUAGAUUACGGCUGGUCUAAACCAAUUCUCAGGAUAUCUUAAAACUAGGAGUAGCCUUAAGAUCCUGUUUUGCCAAGAAUACCUACUUGGAAGUCUAGUCAAAAGUGGCAGCUCACCCUCCUGUUUCAACUCAGAAGUCCUUCUCCAUUACGACCCCUGUCAAGUGAGGAGUUGCUGUUUCUCCUACUAAUGAGCAGAGCAGGUGGCAUCUAGCAUCCUGAGGACAUCUGGGAUGAAGACUUUUUCUUACGAUCAAUGAAUGGAACAAGAAGAGAGGAGACAUUUGAUUGUUUCUUACAUUUUCCUGCUGCCGUUACUGCCUUUCAUCAGAUAGUGCCACUGCAAUCCUCCUUUAAGAAUGGAGAGUGGCUUAGUGGAGAAGUUCUGGACAGGAGUCAGACUUGAGGCUGAUGGAUGUAGACCUCAAAUUGCCACUUCAGGGCAACUGUGUAGACGGAAUCUGUCUGGGAAUGAAGCCAACCUGGUGGAGAGUGGUACCGAAAAACAGAGCGGGAAGGACACCUGGAGGUCAGUUUUCGAUAUCUGGAUCCAGCUUUGUUUGAAACUACUUUUAAAGUUUUCAUUUAUAUGUCAACUAAAUUUCCUUCUUUUAAGCCCAUUUGACUCGAGUUUGUGUCUUUUGCAACAGGAAGGAUAUAACAGAGUUAUACUAACUAGCUGCUAAUUAGCUGUGUGCCUCUUAGGGGUCACAGUCACUAAACAGAUAGGGGUCUCAGUUUCCCAUA